rnacentral:rRNA from 1 species
GACGAACCGAGCGAACGUUGUUCGGAAUCACUGGGCUUAAAGGGCGCGUAGGCGGGUGCUCAAGUCCGUGGUGAAAUCCUCCGGCUCAACCGGAGAACUGCCUCGGAUACUGGGUGCCUCGAGGGUGGUAGGGGUAUGCGGAACUAUCGGUGGAGCGGUGAAAUGCGUUGAUAUCGAUAGGAACUCCGGUGGCGAAGGCGGGUCUCUGGGCCGAAAUUGACGCUGAGGAGCGAAAGCGUGGGGAGCAAACAGG